UAGUUUCAAAAAAAUGGAAACCAGACCAUGUCCAAGAAAGGGAGGAAAUGUCUGAGAUAGUUGACAAAGGAAAGGACAGUACAAAGGAAAGACUCCAGAAAGAAAACA